rnacentral:rRNA from 1 species
UACGGAGGAUCCAAGCGUUAUCCGGAUUUAUUGGGUUUAAAGGGUGCGUAGGCGGCUUAUUAAGUCAGGGGUGAAAGACGGUGGCUCAACCAUCGCAGUGCCUUUGAUACUGAUGAGCUUGAAUAUACUAGAGGUAGGCGGAAUGUGACAAGUAGCGGUGAAAUGCAUAGAUAUGUCACAGAACACCGAUUGCGAGGGCAGCUUACUAUGGUAUU